rnacentral:misc_RNA from 1 species
GAUGAAGAACGCAGUGAAAUGCGAUAAGUAAUGUGAAUUGCAGAAUUCAGUGAAUCAUCGAAUCUUUGAACGCACAUUGCGCCCGCCAGUAUUCUGGCGGGCAUGCCUGUCUGAGCGUCAUUUCAACCCUCAAGCAACUUCUGCUUGGUGUUGGGGAUCGGCCGUUAAACGCCGCCCCCGAAAUCUAUUGGCGAUCUCGCUGUAGCUUCCUAUGCGUAGUAGUAACAUCUCGCAUCUGGAGAGCGGCGCGGUCAUGCCGUAAAACACCCAACUUCUCAGGUUGACCUCAGAUCAGGUAGGAAUACCCGCUGAACUUAAGCAUAUCAAUAAGCGGAGGA